ensembl:lncRNA
AGACAAGGGGCCCGUCAGAAAGGUGGGUAUGGGCCCCAUCAAAGAGGUCAAAGAGGUGGGUAUGAGCCCCAUUAAAGAGGUCAAAGAUGUGGGCAUGGGCCGCAUCAAAGAGGUCAAAGAUGUGGGCAUGGGCCCGGUCAAAGAGGUGGGUAUGGGCCCCAUCAAAGAGGUCAAAGAGGUGGGUAUGAGCCCCAUUAAAGAGGUCAAAGAUGUGGGCAUGGGCCCCAUCAAAGAGGUCAAAGAGGUGGGUAUGAGCCCCAUUAAAGAGGUCAAAGAUGUGGGCAUGGGCCCCAUCAAAGAGGUCAAAGAUGUGGGCAUGGGCCCCAUCAAAGAGGUCAAAGAUGUGGCCAUGGGCCCCAUCAAAGAGGUCAAAGAUGUGGGUAUGAGCCCCAUCAAAGAUGUCAAAUAUGUGGGUAUGAGCCCCAUUAGAGAGGUCAA